ACUAAAAUUAAAAAGCUUCGAGAAAAUAAGAGAAUACAUCUCAGACUGGUUCCAUUACCAACAGAUAUUUGAAAAAUUUAAAUCUGAUAAACAAAAGGGGUUCUCUACAGAAACUUCUCGAUUUGAAUCUGAUCUUGUAAAUUCUAAAAGAAAAACUCUUUCCAAAACUUACCAACACCUCCUUGACUGGAAAGUCAAAGAGGAGGAGGUAACAGCGGCCAUGGUGAGGUGGUCACAAGAUUUUGGCCAUUCAAUAAUUAUGUCCCAAUGGGAAAAUCUGUGGAAGAACAAUUGGAAAUUCAAAAAUUGUUAUACUAUUAGAGAGAACUUUCUAAAAAUGCAACACCGAUGGUACUUAACACCUGGAAACUUUCAAAAAUGUAUAAAAAUGUGCCAAGUAAUUGCUGGAGAUGCGGUGAUAAUUCAGGAACUUUCUACCACAUGUGGUGGUUAUGUAAGAAAAUACUGAUAUUCUGGGAGAGUAUUCACUCAGAACUGCCAAAAAUUCUAAGGAUCUCUUUUAUUUAAAAACAACAACAGAGGGCUAUCUCCUGGGAGUUACAAAUUUGGAUAUUCCGCAAAAAAAUGAAGGGUAUCUUUUUAUACGCUACGGCGGCAGCAAGAGUUCUCAUCGCGGCAAAAUGGAAGAGUAUUGAAAUUCCCUCUAUACAUGAAUGGAUUCAAAAGCUGACAGAAUAUGCUGAAUUAGAUGGU